GACAUACUUGUCGAUCGAAAAGAUCGAUGGAGAGAAAAUCCCAACCCUAUUUUAGUUGUCACUUUCAAAAAAGUAAACAUGACGGAAAUCAACACAGAAAAAUGAAAUAUUUGGUGAAAAAUGAAUUAAUUUGGCCUACUUAAUGCUCUGAUCUGUUUAGAAAUAAUUGAACAAAGUAUUGAAAAGAAGGGUGUUGAAGAUUAUCUCCUAUUUUUGGCAAUAAUGGUUGAAAAAUAUUGAUUCUUUUACUGUACACUGUUUAUAGUUUGUACAUGGAUUCUGGCACUAUGAAGAAAUACAAGAUAUCUAAGGAACGAUUAACUGAAGCAAAACUUUUACAAAGAAUCAUAAGAGAUAGAUGAAAAUUUAUACAAAAUUAUUUGGAUAAAAGAAAAAUAGAAGGAACUUUACAUAUUUGAAAUGAUUAUUAAUCUGAAGACAUAUAUGUGAUGAAGAGUUAUACAGAAUAAAUUACAUAAAUUAUACUUUCAACAAUGUAAAUAAAGCAGAGAUCAUGUUGAAAUAUUUCUGAAGUAACUAUGCUAAAAGGACUAUGUGAAUCGUUAAUAUACCAGCUUAUGAUGUCUUGCCUUCAUCGAAGACACCUAAUACAUAUUUUUUCAGCUAGAAAUGAUUUAGUUGAUCACAGAGUACUACCAUAUAUACCUGUUUAGUUAUACAUCUUGAUUUAUAGACAUUCAUUGUAUAUAUUUUUAUAUGUUAAGGAAAUAAAGAAAAUAUUAAUUGUCAGUUUAUGGUUGUUUCGUCUUGACCUUCAGAAUCAUUAUUAUACAUUAUUGAAACAAAAAAAUA